rnacentral:lncRNA from 1 species
GAGAGAGAGAGAGAGAGAGAGAGGAGAGAGAGAGAAAUCACACAAAGAGAGGAAGAGAGAGAGAGAGAGAGAGGAGAGAGAGAGAAAUCACACAAAGAGAGGAAGAGAGAGAGAGAGAGGAGGAGAGAGAGAGAGAGAGGGCGAGAGACAUCACACAAAGAGAGGAAGAGAGAGAGAGGGGCGAGAGACAUCACACAAAGAGAGGAAGAGAGAGAGAGGGCGAGAGACAUCACACAAAGAGAGGAAGAGAGAGAGAGAGAGGAGGAGAGAGAGAGAGAGGAGAGAGAGAGAGAGGAGGAGAGACAUCACACAAAGAGAGGAAGAGAGAGAGAGAGGAGGAGAGAGAGAAAGGAGAGAGAGAGAGAGGAGGAGAGACAUCACACAAAGAGAGGAAGAGAGAGAGAGAGGAGGAGAGAGAGAGGAGGAGAGACAUCACACAAAGAGAGGAAGAGAGAGAGAGAGGAGGAGAGAGAGAAAGGAGAGAGAGAGAGAGGAGGAGAGACAUCACACAAAGAGAGGAAGAGAGAGAGAGAGGAGGAGAGAGAGAGGAGGAGAGACAUCACACAAAGAGAGGAAGAGAGAGAGAGAGGAGGAGAGAGAGAGAGAGGAGAGAGAGAGAGAGGGCGAGAGACAUCACACAAAGAGAGGAAGAGAGAGAGAGAGAGGAGGAGAGAGAGAGAGAGGAGAGAGAGAGAGGAGGAGAGACAUCACACAAAGAGAGGAAGAGAGAGAGAGAGGAGGAGAGACAUCACACAAAGAGAGGAAGAGAGAGAGAGAGGAGGAGAGAGAGAAAGGGCGAGAGACAUCACACAAAGAGAGGAAGAGAGAGAGAGAGGAGGAGAGAGAGAAAGGGCGAUCGAGGUUUCCUUCCAGAUGACUUCACCAGACAAACAUGAGAGAGAGAGAGAGACUGUCAGUGAACCUCUCUCUCUCUCCACACACACACACACACACGGUCUCCAUGGUAACAGAUCCUGCCCUCUGGGUGUGGUAGAGAGACCAGAGAGAGAGAGAGUUAACCCUUUCAGUGUCUCUGGAACGUUUUUGUGUUUAUCUGUUUGCUUUUGUGCUUAUCAGAUUUUUAAAUGUGAUCAAACUUUAUUUCUGUGA